rnacentral:rRNA from 1 species
AGUUACGGCCAUAUCACUCUGAAAACGCCUGAUCUUGAAAACUAAGCAGAGUCGACCCUGGUUAGUACUUGGAUGGGAGANNGCCUGGGAAUACCAGGUGCUGUAAGCAU